rnacentral:rRNA from 1 species
AUUGAACGCUGGCGGCAUGCCUAACACAUGCAAGUCGAACGGUAACGCGGAGAGCUUGCUCUCUGGCGACGAGUGGCGGACGGGUGAGUAAUACUUAGGAAUCUGCCCAGUAGUGGGGGACAACAUUCGGAAACGGAUGCUAAUACCGCAUACGCACUACGGUGGAAAGUGGGGGACCUUCGGGCCUCACGCUAUUGGAUGAGCCUAAGUCGGAUUAGCUUGUUGGUGAGGUAAUAGCUCACCAAGGCGACGAUCCGUAGCUGGUCUGAGAGGACGAUCAGCCACACUGGGACUGAGACACGGCCCAGACUCCUACGGGAGGCAGCAGUGGGGAAUAUUGGACAAUGGGCGCAAGCCUGAUCCAGCAAUGCCGCGUGUGUGAAAAAGGCCUGCGGGUUGUAAAGCACUUUCAGUAGAGAAGAAAAGCCUAGGGUUAAUACCCCUGAGUCUUGACGUAACCUACAGAAGAAGCACCGGCUAACUCCGUG